AUUUUUCACAGACAAAUGGCGAUUUAAAAAGAACCUUCGACACAAUGUCCUAUUUGUAUUAAUAUACAGUAGAUAAUCUGUGGUCAAGACUCAAGAUGACGGUUCUGUAAAAGUCAAUAAGGUUUUCGUAUCUUUGAAUCUUGUAAGUAUAGUUUUUCAUUAUUAAAACAUGUAAUUAAAGUUUUAAUACAGUAAUACAGUGUGUUGUCCAAUUUUCGGACAGUAAAAUGUUUUCACACUAUAUUUUGCGAUUUAAGAUGUUUAGCAGGUUCAAAUUUGUACAGAUGAUAACCACUUCCCAUGGCUACAGUACUGUAUACUUUAUUUUUUCUGUAAUAUCAAAAACAAGUACUUCAUUUUCAUUUAAUACCACAUUUCGGACAGCUGGUCCGCUAUUCGGAAAUUAUAGGUUUUACUAAAUUUUCUCCCGUGCAGUUCACUUGCACUAAAGACACUGAUGACCAUUUGUUUGAAAGAUAAAUGAGCAGGUCUUAAAAUAAGCCUAAAACCGUUUUAUUAAAUAUAGCAGGCCGAUAGUUAUUAAGUACAAAAGAUGGACUCCGUUUUUUUUAAUACACCCUGUAUAAAGCCAUCGUCCGAGCUCCUCAAAAAUUGCUCCUCAAAGCUCCUCAAAAAUUGUUUCUUAAUUUAAAAGUCCGAAACUUCUUAAAUUUUAUGACAGUAGCAACAAUUAUUGUUGCACUAAAAUUUAUUAUUUUGCUAUUCUUCAUAAAAAAAUUUGGCGAUAAAAAUAUUUCGUCCGAAUAGUGGUACUGUCCGAAAAUUGGACAACAUACUGUAUAGCGCUUCUAGCGAUGUUAUUGAUCUAUUGUUGAAUGUCACUUAUAUUAUAAAGUGCCAAUGGUUGGAAUAUUUAUUCAUUGAUAUUUUAAACACAGAUGAAGUGUUAUAUGCUCUUUCUUUGUUUACGUUUUCCUUGCAGCCAAAUGUUGUUGAAGCUGGCAAGCUGCAAAACUGACAAGCUGCAAAACUGACAUAUGAGUGAUAUGACCCAAAUAUUGGAUAUGCAUCUUAGUUUGCUUCCAGUAAAAUGUAAACAAGACCUUAAGAAUUUGUCCCAGGGAUAAAGGUAGGGAUAGAUUUUCCAUCACAAAAGGGGCAAGGUGCCCAACCAGUUCUAAGAUGGCAUGUACUUUAAGUGACCAUUCAUUAUACCCUAGGGUGGGGUGGGAGAUUCUUAUGUCAAAAUGUCAUGGGACCCCUUUUUAAUCUCUUAAUUUAAUAAUGGAGACCCCUCCUAUAAAAUAUUUAAGACUAUAUAACAUGAUGAAAUUCUAAUCUUCAUUCAUGUGAAUGCCUGACUAUGAAGAAAAUACAAUUUGCAACACAUGGAUGGAUCCAGCAUGAUCUGGUAGGGGGUGGGGUGGGGCGUGCUCUGCCAGCUCUGGUGCCGAGUUGUGUUGGUCAUGUGUGCCGCCCGCCCAUCAACUUGCUUCACUACUGCAAAGUCUUGCUUUACUACUGUAUUUGAAUUGUAAUUGCUGUUCACAGCUUGCUUAUCAUCAUGUUAUUACUCAAAUUACUGUAUCUCAUUUUGCCUGUAAUCAUUUUUUGCUUUAUCAUGAAAAAUAGAACCCCCCCCCCUGGCCAGGGCUAGGGGAGUGCACAGCCCCCCCCCCUCCCUGGUAAAUCCAUCCCUGUUGCAACAUACACUACAAGAGCUAGAAUGAUUGCUUCCUUUGGAUGAUUUGUCUUAGAAUUACAUUACCUAUAUUACAACAAUUCUUCCUAUUCUGAAACCAGUUGCUAUUCUGUUUUUUACAACACUCCCCCCCCCAAAAAAAAAACAAAAAAAAAACUCAACAAAUCAAGGACCCCCUCCAAGGCAAUUUUGCCAGCAAAAUAGAUUAAAUUUGAUGGUAAUUGUUUUGAGAAUAUAUUAACUCAUUGAGUGGCAGCAUUCUGCCUAGACUUGCCACAAGUCGACCUCAAACGAAAUGCAAGCAGCGAGUGUGAGCCAACGUUUCAUUCAAGGUUGACUUGUGGCAAGUCUACAUUCUGCCCUUGAGUAAAAUUGUCUGGCACCAGACGGAGUAAUAUAUUAAAGUAGGGACAUUGCCACUAUAAAGGGUUAAACAAAUUUUUAAAAUUUUUGCAAUGGUUUAUAUUCAAAAAGCUCAAUUUGUAAAUGUUAAUUGAAUUAAUAUAACUACUUAUACUUAUAGCCUUGCCCCAGUCACUUCAAGUGAAUUCUAUGGGAGGAGGGGGACAUUGAAAAUCCCUGGGUUUACUUGAUAAAAGCAAGAAUUGAACCAUGCAUUACAUGUAUAUGGAGAGCAGUUUUAAAUAUAUUUUAUCAUGCAAAUACUGUACCUUGAUAAUUGUUCUUAAAUGUCUUUGGCUUAGAAUGGGUACACCCUCCAAAGGUGUUUAUUUACAGGGUCCAAAGGCGUAAAUAUACACUGUCCAAGGUGUUAAUAUAAACAACAAAAACAAUGUAUAUAAUUAAAUUUUAUUAAAUAAAAUGUGGAAUAUUUUACAAAUUGCAUUAGCGUUGUUAGCAUCC
rnacentral:lncRNA from 1 species